GCGAUGGAUUCUAUUGAGAUAUAACUAAUCGUAAAAGCGAUACUGUUUCCUGGAAAAAAAAAGCGCGCCAAACACCAUGACCAGCACCAUCAGUCACAAGCACCACAGGAAUCGGUGGUACUCAUAAGCCAGGCAGGGCAGAACAUAACAGGUAAAACAGGUUUGUGGGCGUCCUGAGAGAGCUACCUGUACCGCUUCUUCUGGGCCCUUCCGAUCCUCGCGCGUCUCUCCUCCUCGACUUCGGUCUCUCCUUUUGAUACAGGAACCCUCGCUCCUACGGAAGGGUCUCCGAAAAAGAUCAGAAAAAAGGAUCGUGCGGUGGGAGAAGGCAGAGAAGCAGGAAAGGGAAACGGACCACGUCUACCGCGGUGCGCGUAUGCAUACACGUUCACCUGCGCGAGCGGGCGUAACAUAAUACGAUGAGGAUCGCAUCGUGCAAAUGCCAAAAGAAUUUCGUUACGAGAGUAUGCGCUGUCCAGGGACGUCUUGGGAUUCGAACCUUCUCCCUGCACGAGCGGUUGCGGAAUCGACGACGCUCUUCCUUCCCUUCCGAUACAGACGAUUUAGACGUUUUCAACGAUUCCAACCGAUGGGACACAAGCUUCGCCUUCUUCUAAUCGUUCUCAGCUUUGACGUUCCAAACGUAAUAGUCGGACGUGUUAUGGUCUUACGAGCAAAUCCUUUGUACGACGUAGCAAUAACUGUUAAAUGCUACAACGUUAUGCGCAUCGCCGAUAUCACUGUAUUAUGCGCACUUACCUGCGUACAUCGAAUCAAAGCGCUUCCUUUUAUUUCUUACGAGUAUCGACGAAACGUUCGAUUAUGCGUAUCUUGGAUGUACGCGUAUGUACGCGUAUGUACGCGUAUGUAUAUAUGCCUACAUGUAUACCUAUGUAUACGCGCACGCACCCACGCACGCACACGUGCACAGGUACUAGGCAACAUGAACGUGUAAGCGCGUCACUGUGGAAGUGCGUGCGUACGUGUGUAUAAAAUGUAGACCUUAAAGAGCAGGUAGCGCGCUUUCAAUUCGCCUUUGAGAUAGCGCGGAAGAGCGAAGAAGCUUGGAACUUUGGAGAAGCUAGUAGAGGGUUCUCCUUUCUUUGACUGAUCGCACGUAAAUUUUGAAGGAAUCCACGGGUCUAUUGUGGAUCAUCGGUCGUGCGAGAAAAGAAAUUUUCCUUGGACGAGCCGACCAUAAGAUCUUCCCACAUACCUGCGUCGUGAUUAAUGUCAUGCCUGUUCGAGACGUUUUUCAAGUUAUAUUUUCUAGUUUUUCAUACGAGAAUACAUGUUUAACGUAUACGUGGGUCAACGUAUACUUCGUCGUAAUCUACACGGUAUAAAAGUGUCUUCGGUCGAACGGAUCUUGAGUGACCUAUGGCCCUGCAUUGGCCAUCUACGUACGUACGUAGCUACCGAGUGAUCGAUUGAAAUCCCGACUGCGUAUCUUAUUCUUUCAUUACUCGAUGGCACUGUGUAAUCGACGCAUAUCGCAUUUACGAUAGAGCAUCGAACGCUGUAAGCGAAGUGGUUUAGUAAUCCGGCAGCGGCACUUGCGCAAUCCAGGAAUUUCUCAUGCGAGGCGAAGGAAGGAAAUUGCGUUGCCCAAUUAGAAAUCGCGGGAGACCGCAGAAGGAGGAAAGGAACGAGAUAAAGGAAAGAAAAGGAGAUAAAAAUAGGGAGAGGGAGCGCAAAAGGAUGAUCGUAAGAAAUAAGAAAGGGAGUAGGUAUACCGAGUGAGACGGGAAUAAUAAAUAUAUUUAAAUGUGAUUAAAUGUCGUCGUUUCACUUUUCACGUAAUUCCCAUCAAAAGCGGUCAAAGUUAUCGAUUUAACUAAAAUAACUUUGUAGUAGUCAUUGUGUCUGGCCUUUUUUUCAUCGCGAUUCGCGAGAAUAUCACAUCUCGAAGGCAGACAUUCUAUGGCAACGAGCGAUGACGAGGCCUUUGCAGGAAUCCGGUCUCUUCCUCCUCCCCUCCUUUCUCCUUUUGCUUUUCUCGAACGAUUACGACACUGCUCCUCUCACCUCCGCCUAAUCCCAAAUGCCGUGUUGCAGAAGCACUGGAACGAAGGAGGACGAGCGGUCGAAGAAGAAAGAAAAGGGUAGGAGGGCAAACGACGGAGAGGAGAAGAGAGCUCCACUCGUCAUCCCGGAUGUGCAACAUCUUUACAUGCUAUUCUUCGAUGCAGUUACCUACCAACACGAUUGUUCUCUUUUUCGCCUAUUAACGAGUCUUUAGCUAUACCUGUCUACUACGUAGAUCUCCGAUGAAAAUACAGGAAAGGGAAAAAUGUAAAAGAAAGCGCGGCGAAUGUGGGAAGAAAGAAAAUAGAAAACAAAAAGAGAAAAAAAGAGGAAGGUGUGCAUCAGGCAACAGUCACUCGCUCCUGAUUACACGGACCAUUGUGCAAUGACAACGAAAUCGGUAUAUGAGAGGACGAAUGUAAAAAGACGCCCAUGACUGAGGAAAGACGGGCUAUGGCGAUAUAGAAAUUCAUAACAAAACGAAAGGAACUUGGGCGACGCGAAAGGAUCGAACACGUAAUACGCGAGUGUCCUCCUCUAUUUCCGUUUACGCUUAUGUACCUCGCAAUCAGCCGUCGGGUUCCUCCAAGACGAGCGAUUCGAGAUGAAGCAGGAGAGAAACGAUGAAACGAAUGGAAGAGGGCACUCCGUUAUCGUUCACCUCUCAUAACGGUUUCUUCGACGGAGGGCGCGAUCCCACAUCGCUUCGUGUCGUCGCUGGGUAAGAAUGGCUCGCCGUUUAUAUCUAUCCAUCCGUAUGUAUCUAUGUAAGUAUGUAUAUCCAUGUAUUUAUAUACCGUAUCGUACUCAGUCGAUACGUAUCCACGAUCCUUAUUACACGACACUUAUUACAUCAGCGUACGAUCAUCGCCCAUCGAUCAAACGAUGUUUGCAUCGUUUCAUCGACAAUUUUCAAUAAAGGACAAGCACAGAUUCUACAAGUUGAAAGUUAAGAUGCGUUUGCAGAUUCGUUCAAAAUAUUCAUUCAAGUAGAAUUAAUUAAUAAUAUAAUUCAAGUAGAGAAAGAGAGAGAUUGAAUAAAACGAAGCUAUGAAGUAUAGAGGAAUACGAAUGUAUCAUCUCGUACUUCGUAAUAACACCUUUGUUUCCGGUAAUGGAACAAAACGCCAACUCCUUAAAUGCUUUUAUGCCCUCGAUGUAACGGCUCCUCGUGACUUCUUUGGCUUCCGGUACAAGCGAGGGUCACUGAAGACCCGGAAGUUCGUUCGACUCAGCGCAUUAACUUUCCUCGGAGCCCCUUAGUAUUAUAUACCUUUCAAGCCAUCGGAUACUUUGCGAAUUGUAGCAUGCGGAAGAGUAAGUGGAAAGGCAAUCUAUGACACUACAGUCAUUUCAUCGCUUCUUUUUCCUUACAAUCGGCAUUCUAAGCUCAGAAAGGGAACAACGCCGCUCUAUAAUAAUUACUCUAAUAUUUAAUAUAGAAUAUUUCAUGGAUACCUAAUUGAAAAGGAGUUUACGUCGCCUCGACUUUCGUAACGCGAGUGAAACAAAUCUUUAACAUAUUAUAUAAACAGCGUCAAUCUAUUCAUUGCGUAUCGUAAAUUAAUGCAAAAUACCAAGAUAUAUCUAACAAAAACGCACGUGUUAGACCAAAUCCUAACAGACAUAAUCGCGUUAGGAUGUUAGGGUUCGAUUUAUAAAAAAAAACAAAAGACGAGAUAUUUAUUGCGUUGUCAUUAAACGAAUCUAAUUCGUAUCUUAUACUCUUUGUUCAAUUUACUUCAACAGUAUCAACAAUAUUCUUUUUUAUGUUAGCUAAGCAGCAAAGAAUACCAAGGUUCCUUAAAAGUAUAGCUCCAAGAAUGUAUGUGUUUAGAAUUCAGACUACCUGUGGUACGUGUUACACUUCACCUACGUACAUUUAUAUAACGCGACCGAUGCAAGAGAUAUACACGCGAUACCUAUCCUCACGAAUGUAACAUUCAGUUAGGCGAAUAUGAAGCGCCACAUGUUGGAAAGAUGUGGGAAGAUUCUACGACAGUAUUACAUUACCGCAUUUACCCCAACAAUUGGACCUAACGCGCUCGACGCCGAGUCAAUUAAGAAGAUUCUUUCUCUCUUCCCACCCCACACCUCUCUCUCUCUCAUUACGAACCAACGAACGUACACAUAAAAUAAAAAUAAAGUAGCUUGAUUAAUCUACUACGACAGAUUUGUAAGCAGGUAUAAUAUAGCCUUAAUGUGCUAAUCAAACUUCAAUAUUAUACGUUUUUAAAGGAGCGUGAUUACGAUGGACGAUUCUACGAUCUAUAUCGCGCAAUAAAAUUUCAUUUUUACAUUUAUUUUUUUCUUAUAUUACUCAUAUUAGAUUUUUAUAUAAAAGUUCUCACGAGAGAGAGAGAAAUUAAAGAAACUUUUCGAAUAACAUAUAU